rnacentral:lncRNA from 1 species
GAUGGUGCCCACCCAGAGUGAGGGUGGGUCUGCCUCUCCCAGCCCGCUGACUCGAAUGUCAAUCUCCUCUGGCAACGCCCUCACAGACACGCCCACAAACAAUACUUUACCAGCUAUCUAGGCAUCCCUCAAUCCAAUCAAGUUGACACCUAAUAUUAACCAUCACACCAAUUAAAAAUAAAAUAAAGGUAAAAUGAAGAUACUUCAGGCAAGAAAAAACUUUGAAAAUGCAUUGCCAGUAGACCAACACUAAAAGAAGUAUUAAAGGAAAUGAUUCAAGAUAGAAACACGAAAAGGUAGAAAUAAAUGAGGAGUGCUGGGAAUGGUAAAUAUAUUGGUAUAUGGGUAAAUAUAAGUAAAUUCUGACAACUUAAACCAAAAGUAACAAUGUUCUCAGGAAAUUAAAAUAUAUGUAGAAUUAAAUACAUGAUAACGUAGCACAAAAAGCAGAAGGAGAGAAAUGGACUAAUGGUGUUGUACUAACAACACUUGCCAUGGUAACAUCCAAAACUAAACAGAAUGUAACAAGCCAACAAUGAGUAUUCUACUCUCUAGGGCAGGGGUUCCCAACCUCUGGGCCAUGGACAGGUAGCAGUCUGUGGCCUGUUAGGAACCAGGCCGCACAGCAGGAGUGUCCAUCAGAAGGCCCCUGCUGAGUAGUUGGCAGGGUGGCUGCACAUAAUGGAAAGCACAUAAGCUUGAAGCCAGACAGAUGGGAGUUCUAACCCCAGCCCUGCCACUUAUUCCCAGGUGACACUGAGUGGAAAUUAGGCCAAAAUAAAUACUACUUUCUGCUUAAAAAAAUGCAGUGAUGUCCAAAGAGAAGGGAGGAGGAAGGAUGAAAGGAAAGACAGAGGAGGAAGGAAGAGAAGAAAGAAGAGUGGCCGGCACAAGGGCUUGGAGAUCCCUGAAGCUGUUUUCCUUUCUCCUCACCCCCACAGGGAGGGAUCCACAUCGUUGUGGGGUUUUUGUUGUUGUUGUUUUUGUUUUUGUUUUUUUGCCUCCCUUCAUCAAAGCAUUCAUUGUAGUGUAUGGUAAUUGUCUCUGAAUGUAACAGCCUCUCUUCCCUGAGGCCUGGGUCUGCUUGUUUCAUACCAUCUUCUCCUUAACACACAGUGCUUGGUAAAC